rnacentral:rRNA from 1 species
GGGUAACGGAGGGUUAGGGCUCGACCCCGGAGAAGGAGCCUGAGAAACGGCUACUACAUCCAAGGAAGGCAGCAGGCGCGCAAAUUACCCAAUCCCGAUUCGGGGAGGUAGUGACAAUAAAUACUGAUACAGGGCUCUUUUGGGUCUUGUAAUUGGAAUGAGUACAAUUUAAAUCCCUUAACGAGGAACAAUUGGAGGGCAAGUCUGGUCCAGCAGCCGCGGUAAUUCCAGCUCCAAUAGCGUAUAUUAAAGUUGUUGCAGUUAAAAAGCUCGUAGUUGAACCUUGGGCCUGGCUGGCCGGUCCGCCUCACCGCGUGCACUGGUUCGGCCGGGCCUUCCCUCUGGGGAACCUCAUGGUCUUCACUGAUCGUGAGGGGACCAGGACUUUUACUGUGAAAAAAUUAGAGUGUUCAAAGCAGGCUAUGCUCGAAUACAUUAGCAUGGAAUAAUAAAAUAGGACGUGUGGUUCUAUUUUGUUGGUUUCUAGGACCGCCGUAAUGAUUAAUAGGGACAGUCGGGGGCAUCAGUAUUCAAUUGUCAGAGGUGAAAUUCUUGGAUUUAUUGAAGACUAACUACUGCGAAAGCAUUUGCCAAGGAUGUUUUCAUUAAUCAGGAACGAAAGUUAGGGGAUCGAAGACGAUCAGAUACCGUCGUAGUCUUAACCAUAAACUAUGCCGACUAGGGAUCGGACGGUGUUACUUAUGACCCGUUCGGC